ensembl:lncRNA
GGGAGUUACAGGAUUUAAGGUUUAAUUUGAAAGGGUUUAGGAUUACUUGAUGAUGUUUAGGUUUUUUGAUAAUUUAGGUAUGGUAAAACUGAGGCAGAAAGUGUUAUUUUCAGGUUAUUUUUGAUUUCUAGAAUAAGAGGUUACAAUUUAGGCGUGCACAUACAGAUAUGUCAAAGGAAAAUUGUAUAUAUGUUAUCAGCUACAUGAAAUGUGUCUACAUGACGUUUACCUAAUAACUUAUGUGAUGAUAAAGUUGUUUACCGACUAGCAGCUUGCUUUCUUCUUGAACCUACAGACUUAGAAAAGGGGAACUUCAGCUCUGAGUUCUGAGAAUAACUCUGGUAUUUUUAUAAGUAGACAGGAAACACGUCGAGACCGCCGUAUAGGGCAAAUGUGUUAGAGCUUGUAAUUAAAUGUGGGCUUGAAAAGAGGAAGCAAAUUUGGUACAGGACGUGCUUGAGAUGAUCAGAUGAGAGAAAGGAGAAGAACAGAGCACAAAUACACCGAGUUGUUUAUAUUACAAAGAAGAUCAAAAGUUUGUUAGACACAGGUUAUAAUGGAAGCAUAAAAGGGAUGAGAGGAACUUUACAUAACAUAGAAAUCCUGCAACAAUUCAGUAAAUUGCCCAAACACAGUGUUCAGACCGGAUAUGCGCUACCCGUUAAGGGGGGCGAAGAAAUCAGGCCUAAGUUUGAAAAAUGAAAUGGGUUAACUCGAUAGAGGAUGUUUCCAAAGGUAGAGAAAAUAAUGUAGGACCUUUUACCAGGAGAAAGCUAAUUGUAUCUUUUACACUUUACAGUGUGCACUGAGGGAAGUCAGGAAUAGUUUAAAUUAGGAUUAAAAAAUUGAACUAGGUGGAAAGGGGGUGUAGCAAGUAGAUUUAGGGCAGCUCACAGCCUGGCGUAAACGCAAGGUGCUGUCACACAGCUUAAGUUAUUUGUUUGAUUUAUUUUAAACAUUGAAAACAUACAACCCGUUGAGGAGACAGAUAGGGUUGGGGAAUUGAAAGGUUUUGUUUGUUUAGCAUAAUCUCUUUUGUUAUAUUUUAGCUUUAACAGGGAACAUGCCUCUCUGGAGCUUCUCUCCUGAUGCUACCCUGCCAAAGACCCUUAUCCAUAGAGACUAUGUCAGCUCCCAAACAGACAACAACAAACCAAAUCUAGCAAUAAAACAAAUUAAACAUUAAUAGUAACAAAGCAAGGACAAUACAGAAUCCACAUCUGAACCGAAGAAUAAAACAGUGAAAUAUGGAUUAUUAAAUAUUAGGUCUCUCUCGUCAAAGCCUCUGUUAGCUCACGCCAAGCGGUCGCAGCAGAUGGCUGCCCGUACCUGAGCCUGGUUCUGCUGGAGGUUUCUUCCUGUUAAAAGGGAGUUUUUCCUUCCCACUGUUGCCAAAGUGCUUGCUCAUAGGGCGUCACAAGAUUGUUGGGUUUUUCUCUGUAUCUAUGAAGCGCCUUGAGGUAACUUUUGUUGUGAUUUGGCGCUAUAUAAAUAAAAUUCAAU